UACGAGGGGGCAAGCGUUGUUCGGAUUUAUUGGGCGUAAAGGGUGCGUAGGCGGUCUGGCAAGUCUUGUGUGAAAUCUUCGGGCUCAACCCGAAGUCUGCACAAGAAACUGCCGGGCUUGAGUAUGGGAGAGGUGAGUGGAAUUUCCGGUGUAGCGGUGAAAUGCGUAGAUAUCGGAAGGAACACCUGUGGCGAAAGCGGCUCACUGGCUCGUAACUGACGCUCAUGCACGACAGCGUGGGGAUCAAACAGG
rnacentral:rRNA from 1 species